UAAUGAAGGCAGCAUGGUUGUGUGCACGGAAAUGGAUCUUUUAGGUCAAUAUGUCUGCUCUCCCUGAUGAACGCAAUGAUGGGAGGGCCUGGUUGCGACCUACAUCU
rfam:Vigna angularis cultivar Jingnong 6 scaffold182_118, whole genome shotgun sequence.